rnacentral:tRNA from 1 species
GCCGCCGUAGCUCAGCCUGGCAGAGCGCCGGACUCAUACGAGAUCCGGUUGUCCCGGGUUCAAAUCCCGGCGGCGGCA